GGUCGGUUCGUCUUGUUCCAUGACUAGUUCUGCGUCAUCCACAUCGGACAGCGCCCAGCCACCGGCUCUCUGGCACUUCACAGGAAACUUUGAAUACCCUGGGUAUUUCCUGUGUGCCUCUGCGCCUAAUGUCCCUUAACGGCAACAUGUCAUGAAUUAACUGGAUAUACCAUGAGGGCCGGGAAUGUCUACAUCCAUUCUUUACUCCAUUUGAGUAGGAUAUUUCAUUUUGGACCAAUAGGUGGCCAAAAAAAUGCACAGUAUACUGCAGGAGUGAGGAAAAACUGCUGGCCCGACUUCAGGACAUUCAGUUGAACGAUGGAACGAGGAUGAAUACAUUAAAUUAUGGAUCUUAAUCAUUGGGGGUUAACACGAUUAUGUUUCACUUUCGUUUAUAUUGCGAGAUAUGGAAUUUGUGCUGCAUAUAAUGUUGGAAAUAUCAGAAAAAUUAUUUAGGGGCUACUUUUUUUGCUGAUACAGGCAGGUUCUUGUGUAUGUAAUUUAACAUUUUAACCCACACUUACAUUGUAUGGAAUUUGAAAUGUCCUUCCGAGGGGUCCCUGCUCUUGUAACGGCAGAAGGAAAUGGGAAAGUAGACAUGUUGACUAAGUAAUCCCUAUAAGAACUUUAUCGGACAUACGGAUACCAAACAGAGGAUACAACUAUCAUACAUAACUAUAAACGCCUUAUUGAGCGGAAAUACUGGAACCUAAGUGACAAUUUAGCCCGAGGGAAGAGAACAGGAAGCACAGGGUUAAAUCAAACAGGCACCCCACUGGACUAUGAACACAUUGUAAUAAAUCACAUAUUGUCAAACAUGUACUAAUAGACAUUCACAAGUAGGCCCUAUGACAAAGAAAGAAGAUAGUUAUUGCAAGGAUUAUUUGGUGAAAAUCUCAGUAUUAUGUUGGGGAAUUCUCCAGGAAACACAUUAGAGAAGGUUCCUAUUUCUCCACGUGCUAGUUGCAGUAAGGCACUUGGUAAUGCAAA